UACAGAGGUCUCAAGCGUUGUUCGGAUUCAUUGGGCGUAAAGGGUGUGUAGGUGGCGCGCUAAGUCGGGUGUGAAAUUUCGGAGCUUAACUCCGAAACUGCAUUCGAUACUGGCGUGCUUGAGGACUGGAGAGGAGACUGAAUUUACGGUGUAGCGGUGAAAUGCGUAGAUAUCGUAAGGAAGACCAGUGGCGAAGGCGGGUCUCUGGACAGUUCCUGACGCUGAGGCACGAAGGUCAGGGGAGCAAACGGG
rnacentral:rRNA from 1 species